GUCCCUGUAUAAAAACAUAUGCUUAGUUAAUUAAAGUGCAUUUUGGUCUUUUUUUUAAGGAUUGGAAUGUGAUAAUAAGGGAUUGAGAGUUCGGUUAAUCUAUACUAUUUUAAAGAUUGGCAUGAAGGUAUAAAAGAGGGGCAUACUUGGUAUAAUAAAUUUGAAAAGUUGGGAAUUUUGGUUAAGCUUUUCGAGGAAUGGAAUGUGAUAAUAAGGGACUCGAUCAGAAACUGUUUGACUGUAUUAAGCAAUAACAUAUAUGCUCUGAUUUAUCAAUAAAUGAUAUAAAAAUCUUGGAUUUUGGACGCUUCAAAUUACAUGCUGCACCAAUCAACUGUUGAUACACCUGUAAUAUUCAAGAUCCAACCAAGAAAAGUCCAAAAUCGUUUAUUGGCUAUAAAUUUAAUGCAUAAAAAAAUCAAAUAAUUAUUAUACCUGGAUAUUUUCCUUGAAUAUUAGACAUAAAAUAAAUAGUUGCUUCAUGAUCUAGAAUGUAUAAUAUUUUGCCCCUGUUAGUGUAUCCCAUAACGGUAGAAAGCUUCAUCUUAUAUGAAGUAGAAGGAAUAAAACCUUUAAUUGCAUCUUCAAUUGGUAACUCUUUCUAUAUCGUUAUGGGGUUAUCAGAUACAUAAGCUACAACUGAAGCUUCUAAAAACUUCUGUUGACCAGAACCUAUAAUGUGUAUAAAGUAAAAUUGUAAUAAGUAAAGAACAAUAGGUGACAACUCGAUGAGAUGACCAUUUGAAGCACUUCAUAGGCGGCAUAAAAAUUAAUUAGAAGUUACAACCAAAACCAAAUACUAAAAACAAAAAAUUUUAGUUCAAAUAGAUCCAAUUAGAACAUUUUGGUCAUCUACAAAAAAACAGCAGUUUCGCCCAAAAUCUACCAAGAAACCCUAUACUUAAAACAAAUUCACUUCCCUUUUGCUGCAUUCUCCUAGUUUUGAUUGACCAUAUAUUAGUUGAAUUCAUACAAAAAUGAAGAUCAUUAGAAUCAAAUGGUAAAUGAUAACUUAAUUGCACGACCCUUGACUAAUAUUUUUUGCUUCUAGUACAGCCAAAAAUCAAACGUACAACAAUCAAUCAUACAACAACAGUAAGUAAAAGAAUGUUCAUGAAAUGUUCAACAACUCUACCAAGGAUUUUCAGUAAUUCACUAAACGUCAUGAAAAGGGAAUUGAACACCAUACAUAUACACAAACCUGGUUACUAAAAUAGAGAUAUUUCAAGAGAAAGAACCCUGUUAGAAAUUUUUUAUAAAGAGAGAUAGAGACCCGAUGGUGAAACCAUGGUCUAGAACCGGAUCCAAGAAAAAAUCCAUGUAAGAAGAAAAAAACGAUGACAAAAGGGGUUCAUGAUGAGAAGGUAUCGGCAGUUUGUGUUGGUGAGCGUUACCUCUAAGCUAAAUAAAAAAAAAUCAACAUAUUAGUCACACUUGGUAAAGAAGAUCUGAAACCUCGAACCCUAAACGAUAUGAUUUUACCUCUCUUUACAGAAGAUCUGUUAAUUUAUAGAGGAAAUAGAACAUAUUUUUUUUCUUUCAAAAAUCGUCCUCUGUUGAUAUUACGAAUGAAAAGUUAACAGGUAUCAAUGGAUAUAAGAAAGAAUCAAAAUCUGUAUAGGAUUAGAGAGAGAGAGAGAGAGAGAGAGAGAGAGAGAAGAGAUGAAAGUGUUAUCAAAAUUUGAAUUUCAAUGUCAGAUACAUUUCAAAGAAACAAUGAGGAUGAAGCAAGGUUUGUAGAUGGUAACUUAGGGCCAUUGACCAUGAAGCAUACCUGAAUCGAGGUUACGGUGAAUGUGAAGGGGAGGGAAGGGCUAGCCACAGGCAACUGGUUUGCCUCGAAUGUUGAGAUGGAGAUGGAGAAAAAGUAGGUUCUAUAGGAUUUUGAAGUUAAAUUGUAGAGCGAUUCAAUUGAUCGAAAUUUGGGCAAGAUUUGAUUGAAGAUUCUGAAGAUGUAUUCCUGAUUUUUUGGAUCGAAGAAACACCCGAUUGAGGAGGAAAAUCCAUAAGCGGGAAAAAAAA
rnacentral:lncRNA from 1 species